UACAGAGGGUGCAAGCGUUGUUCGGAAUUAUUGGGCGUAAAGGGAGCGUAGGCGGUUUGCCAAGGGGAAUGUGAAAACUCUGGGCUUAACCCAGAGCCUGCAUUCAAUACUGGCAGGCUAGAGUUCUGGAGGGGAUAGCGGAAUUCCUGGUGUAGCGGUGAAAUGCGUAGAUAUCAGGAGGAACACCGGUGGCGAAGGCGGCUAUCUGGACAGAGUCUGACGCUGAGGCGCGAAAGCUAGGGGAGCAAACAGG
rnacentral:rRNA from 1 species